rnacentral:ribozyme from 1 species
AAUUGGUGAUGUUAAUCUACUUCCACGUAGUACCAAUUGGGCAACGUUAGAGAUAACGGCUAAGAGAUUAA